CGUUAGAGAGAAGGUGCUUCGCCUCGUGUCUCGUGUUCACGGAGUGGGUCGGUGGUGGCGAGGGUGGCGGGUGGUGGGCAUGCGCGAUCACGGCUGUGAGCUGAGAGCCUCUCAGAGUAUAGGCGACUGGAGUCCCUAAGCCAUGAAGUGAAUGGCGUGUGGCGGUGAGGUGAAGCGUGGCGUGUCCCUCGAUCUGGUGCUGAGCGCGGUACUUGGUUUUGACUUACUGCCUAAACACGGGCUUACUGAUGGCUGUGGCACGCACCAAGGGCGAUAAUGGCGAUGCGAGGAAGGAAAACCUGUGCUAAGUUCUGAGGUGCGGUGACAAAAUUACUGUGUUGUGAGUGAAUAAAAUUCGUUCCGUAAGCCGCGGCCGCCUGUCACUGAUGUUCUGCUGUUACGUUGUUGUUGCCGUGAUCCAAUUACACAGUGAAAGAGAUCGUCGUGAUCCCAGUGCAGCACUGUAAUGCCGUGCUGCCGGGAGUGUUGCCGUGCUGCCUUGCUGCCAGGAAGUGCUGUCGUGUGCUGGGAAGUGUUGCCGCGCUGCCGGCAGGGAAUGACCUCAGCGUGAUGCACGAGGGCAGUGGGUCUGCUGCGUCCGGCGUGGUGAUGGUUGGCGUGGGCACUAGACGAGUUGUAAUAAUCCACCGCGAGCUGCCAGGAUGCCUGCGUGAUACCAAGCAAGAGUAAGUCCACCUGCUGGUGGACUACAGGCUGAACACAAGCACUGACAAGCAGUACAGGGCAUUUCAUGAUGGCUUCUGCAGGGUGUGGGACGGUAUUGUGCUCAGACUUUUCCAGCCAGUGGAACUUGGACUUGGUCACCGGCAAUGAAAAUUAUUUCUGGACACUGGCAAUGAAAAUUAUUUCUGGACUGAGUUGGAAAAGAAUGCUGAAUAUAAGAUUUAGUUAAGGGUGAGUACUUCCCAGACCAUCCAGUCACUCGCACGUGUUGGGAAGUCUUUCGCGAGCUCUCGCUGGAACAGAAAAUGUUUUCAAGUUUCUGACGGGGACUCACCAGGUUCUUCUACUAGGCCUGCACCACACCUGCCAGAGAAGGAUGUCCCAAGGCUGCCUCCCAAUGUCACCUUUUCCUGUCUCUGUCGCUCCAUCUUAGCAUACCUCACUUGCUCAUCCAACUGCUGCCUGCAAGGUGGAGAAUGUUUACACCUGGAAACGUUGCAAUAAAUGAAGAAGGAAG